rnacentral:rRNA from 1 species
AUUGAACGCUGGCGGCAUGCCUUACACAUGCAAGUCGAACGGCAGCACGGGUGCUUGCACCUGGUGGCGAGUGGCGAACGGGUGAGUAAUACAUCGGAACGUACCUUAUCGUGGGGGAUAACGCAGCGAAAGUUGCGCUAAUACCGCAUACGCCCUGAGGGGGAAAGCGGGGGACCGUAAGGCCUCGCGCGAUUAGAGCGGCCGAUGUCUGAUUAGCUUGUUGGUGAGGUAAAAGCUCACCAAGGCGAUGAUCAGUAGCUGGUCUGAGAGGACGAUCAGCCACACUGGGACUGAGACACGGCCCAGACUCCUACGGGAGGCAGCAGUGGGGAAUUUUGGACAACGGGGGCAACCCUGAUCCAGCAAUGCCGCGUGAGUGAAGAAGGCCUUCGGGUUGUAAAGCUCUUUUGUCAGGGAAGAAACAGCAGCUCUAACACAGUCUGCGAAUGACGGUACCUGAAGAAUAAGCACCGGCUAACUACGUGCCAGCAGCCGCGGUAA